rnacentral:rRNA from 1 species
CAGUCGCCGCGGGAAUACGUAGGGUGCAAGCGUUAAUCGGAAUUACUGGGCGUAAAGCGUGCGUAGGUGGUGGUUUAAGUCCGUUGUGAAAGCCCUGGGCUCAACCUGGGAAUUGCAGUGGAUACUGGGUCACUAGAGUGUGGUAGAGGAUAGUGGAAUUUCCGGUGUAGCAGUGAAAUGCGUAGAGAUCGGAAGGAACAUCUGUGGCGAAGGCGACUAUCUGGGCCAACACUGACACUGAGGCACGAAAGCGUGGGGAGCAAACAGGAUUAGAUACCCGUGUAGUCCCUGUCUCUUAUAC